AAGCGUUUGAAGACUUUGCAGCGCGCUGACACCAAUCGGCCACCGUAGCUUAGCAACCGAAUCAUAACAAUUCUUUUCCGUUUAGAGUUUUCAUUUGAACAUUUAAAGCAGCUCAGACUUGCAGUUUAUCAGCAAGAGAGAAGAUGCGAAAGAUGUCCAUCGUGAAAACCACCGUGAAUCUCCAGAGGAUUGACUGGCUGCUGCCGAAAGGUGCAGUCAGUGUGCGGAUCGCCCCGGAAUACAUCCCCGGUCCAGUUGGCCGAGGACAAACCAGUUCCAGUGAUGCUGGCCGUCGGAAGAAGUGCCACACCAGGCCGCCGGCAGCCAGCUCCCUGACCACGUCUGCCUCUCCUGGAUCUGCUGCCAUCCCGGUGGCAACCAGCAGGGGUCAGCAGGGCACAGGCCGCCGUAGAAAUACGGCGGGAGGCCGGUCAGGGCGAAGAAGGAGGUAUGACCAACAGAAGGGGUUAGAGCCUAAGCCCAGCUCACCAACCUUCUCCUCCUCUUCAUUUUUAUUUUCGUCUUCAGCCCCCUCCUCUUUUGUUUCAUCCCCAUUUCUUUUUAUGGGCUCCUCUGUUUUAUCCCCUCACUUAGUCACACCUGUAAGCCCAGCUCCACAUCCAUAUUCAGCUCCAGGCCUGGUUCAUCUGACCCAUCUGCUUCAGGCUCCAGCACAGGCUGUAGCCGCCUCAUCUCACCUGGAAAAAUUCUAUUGGUUGUAUAACUAUUAUGUAACCAAGUACUCUAAAAUGACCUAUGACGCCAAGUGCUUUACUGAGUACUGGUGUCAGGAGUUUUGGAACAGACAUUUAAAUGAAAUUAACUUAGCGAAACAGGGGAAGAAUGAGGAUAAUGAGGGUACUCAUUCAUCCAAGAGGCGUAGGAUUGAUGAAGAUGAGUUCAUCUUUCCUAUUGAUGCACUGGAGCAGCUAAGUACCAUGCCCAGGGCUCAGGAGAUGGGUGUGGAGAUGGGCUAUCAGUCAGAUGCACAUAGCUACAUUUCCCUGUAGAUUCAGCACAUAAUUACACGAGAGUUGUCAUACAUACUUAGGAUAAGAUAAAAUUAGGAUAUGUUACCAUGUAGUUCUAUAGCAUAAGGUACUAUAGGAUAAGCUUAAGAUAGGAUAAGGUUAAGAUAGGACAAGUUAAGAUAGUCUUAACUUGUAUGCCAUUUUAUGUUUUACAAAGACAUGAUAAAUUACCAUAAGUUUAGGAUAAGAUUAUAUGAGAUAACAUAGUAUAAGAAUAAGAUAGGAUUGCAUAGCAUAAGAUAAGAAAGAUAGGAUAAGAUAACAUAGAAUAAAAUUAAGAUUGUAUAUCAUAGGAUUAGAUUAAUUAUAAAUAAAGCAGCCCUCCUUAGAGGGGGGGUGGUGGAGGGAAUAUUUAAGAAAUAAAAAUAGGAUCAGUUAACAUAAGGUAAAGAUAAGAUUGUAUAACAUAGGAUUAGAUUAAUUGUAAAUAAAGCAGUCCUCCUCAGAGGGGGGUGGUGGAGGGAAUAUUUAAGAAAUAAAAAUAGGAUUAGUUAACAUAAGGUAAAGAUAUGAUUGUAUAACAUAGGAUUAGAUUAAUUAUAAAUAAAGUAGUCCUCCUUAGAGGUGGGGGUGGUGGAGGGAAUAUUUAAGAAAUAAAAAUAGGAUCAGUUAACAUAAGGUAAAGAUAAGAUUGUAUAACAUAGGAUUAGAUUAAUUAUAAAUAAAGUAGUCCUCCUUAGAGGGGGGUGGUGGAGGGAAUAUUUAAGAAAUAAAAAUAGGAUCAGUUAACAUAAGGUAAAGAUAAGAUUGUAUAACAUAGGAUUAGAUUAAUUAUAAAUAAAGCAGUCCUCCUUAGAGGGGGGGGGUGGUGGAGGGAAUAUUUAAGAAAUAAAAAUAGGAUCAGUUAACAUAAGGUAAAGAUAAGAUUGUAUAACAUAGGAUUAGAUUAAUUGUAAAUAAAGCAGUCCUCCUUAGAGGGGGGGUGGUGGAGGGAAUAUUUAAGAAAUAAAAAUAGGAUCAGUUAACAUAAGGUUAAGAUUAGAUUGUAUAACAUAGGGCUACAGUGAAGAAAUCAAAAAUUUCAAGGCAGCAUGAAGGUAACGCACAAUCAGGGAUGUGCAAUUUCUGAGGCAUGUAUUCAAAAAAAGUAUUUUAAUUGUGUUUUAUGAUUCAUAUUUGAGUUCAUGAAAUAAAAUGUUUUUUUCUACAGACUUUGA